CCGCGUGGGUGAUAGAAGGCCUUCGGAUUUGUAAAGCCCUUUUGUUGGGAAAGAAAUCCUGCUGGAUUAAUACCCGGUUGGGAUGACGGUACCCAAAGAAUAAGCCCCGGCUAACUUCGUGCCAGCAGCCGCGGUAAUACGAAGGGUGCAAGCGUUACCCGGAAUUACUGGGCGUAAAGCGUGCGUAGGUGGUCGCUUAAGUCUGAUGUGAAAGCCCUGGGCUCAACCUGGGAACUGCAGUGGAAACUGGACAACUAGAGUGCGGAAGAGGGUAGCGGAAUUCCUGGUGUAGCGGUGAAAUGCGUAGAGAUCAGGAGGAACAUCCAUGGCGAAGGCGACUCCCUGGACCAACACUGACACUGAGGAACGAAAGCGUGGGGAGCAAACAGGAUUAGAUACCCUGGUAGUCCACGCCCUAAACGAUGAGAACUGGAUGUUGGGUGCAAUUUGGCACUCAGUGCCGCAGCUAACGCGUUAAGUUCUCCGCCUGGGGAGUACGGUCGCAAGACUGAAACUCAAAGGAAUUGACGGGGGCCCGCACAAGCGGUGGAGCAUGUGGUUUAAUUCGAUGCAACGCGAAGAACCUUACCAGGUCUUGAC
rnacentral:rRNA from 1 species